AACCAUUCUCACCUGCGGCUAGACCUGCGGAAGGAUCAUUACAAGUGACCCCGGUUUACCACCGGGAUGUUCAUAACCCUUUGUUGUCCGACUCUGUUGCCUCCGGGGCGACCCUGCCUUCGGGCGGGGGCUCCGGGUGGACACUUCAAACUCUUGCGUAACUUUGCAGUCUGAGUAAACUUAAUUAAUAAAUUAAAACUUUUAACAAUGGAUCU
rnacentral:misc_RNA from 1 species